UGCGCAGAGCCUCAGCGGAACGCCGUGCUCCUGACGCUGCUCCGGAAAGGCACCUGACAUUUGUGAAACACGCAGCGGCAAGAGGCCAGGAGGUCGGCCGAGGAGACGAGUUAACCGGUGAUGUAGCCGCGCCACGCUGCCGACCUUGCCUGCUUCCACGUCGCGCGCCACACGGGAUAGUCGUCGAGGUUGGAGGAGAAAAGUUAGACAGAUGAGAUCGGCGCCGCCGCGGAGAAUUCAUUUCCCUGCGAUUUCUCUCUCUUCAGUUCUCACGUGGUAGUUAUUAAUGACGGGUCCACGGAUGGUAUUCUCCUUUGUAUUUACAGUUGUCUGAAAAAGGUCGCAUUUCUCAUUGCAGGCCCCGCAAAUCAACCUCGACCAAUAGAAACCCGAUUUCCGCCGGGAGCAUGUGCCGCCCGGUUCAACACAGCAUUUUCCGUGGUUGAUAUCCUUGUUUAGCUUGCUCGUGAGGCGGUUGGGCGCGAGAUCCAACAGAAGAAAGAGGAGCUGUACGACGUAAUCGCCAAGGCGGAGCAAAGUUUUGGGACUAGCAACUUCCAGAACCUGCGCCUACUCCAGCACCUCUCCGUGCAAGUCAACCCAAGGCCGUGGGACUGGGAGUGGCGCCAUCUCCGGUUUUCGAGGAGGGUCAACUGCGUGCUGGAGAUGGCCGGCUUCGUCUCGCUCGGUUGCAUGGUGUCCCACUGGUCCAAGAAGUACAAGCAAUUGCGUGAAGCGAGGGAGGAGCUCCGGGGCCUGGAGGAAGAGCUCCGUGUGCUGAAGGAAGAGCAUGAAGCAGGAGAAUGGCAUCGCCCGAUGUCGAACCAGGAUUGAUGCGAAUCUGAGAUGUUGCUUCUGGCAAUGACGGACGGGCUAUAAUCAGGCCGGGCUGGUGGUAGUAGUAGUAGUAAGGCAAGACGAUUGUAGAUGAAUAGUAGUAGACUGAUGUGAUGUUUUGGUGCGAGGUAUGGUGAUGUUGUUCCCGAUCGAAUGGUUGAUUGGAUGAGCCCUUGUGGGUGAUGGCUGGCCAGCGGUUCUGAUCGUGUCGUUGCUGCCGGUUUAUUGUUUGAUGACUCGUAUGUAGGUGGUAAAUCUGCAUUAUGUUGGUUGGAAAUAUUUAAUUUAAA